rfam:Clostridium sp. CAG:417 genomic scaffold, scf6
AGUUUGAAAUAGUUUAAUGGCGCAUUAUUCUAGUCAACUUAUUUGUUAUGAGGACGGGGAUAAACUAUCGUUAAAGAGCACAUCUAUGAAACCUCUGGUGUUUGCUUCUGAUGCCCAAUUGGGGGUUAAUGCUGGAGAUGAAAAUUAUGGGCCGGAUGUAAUGGCAUAUAUCUUUGGACCCAUAGUUUGUGGAGACCUAAUUUUGUAGUAAGCCUAUACGGACAUAUUCUGACGGACUUAUUAUGAGUUAGGAGUAAAAACCUACUUUGUGGCGAAAGUUAUGAGUAGCGUAGCUUGUCUUGAGUGAGAGCUUUGGAAUUAGGUUAAGGACUUCUUGUUUUGGCCAAAAAUAAGUUUUCUAUACUAUGAAAUUACUCUUGCAAAAAAGGAUUAAUAACAAAGAUUGUUGGGGAGGAAAUCUCCUAGAGUGUAUCUAAAUGUGAGAUUAAAGUUGGUACUAAGUGGUAAUCAAGUUGUAUGAAUGGUGACAUCAUACUGAUUUCUUUAAAGGGGAACCGCAAUACUGGUAACGGUAUGUAGAAAUUGGGGAAAGCCUACUUGACCUAAGACUAAGGAUUUAUCAUGUUUAGAGCCAUUAUUAUAAUUAUUAUG